UCCUGGCUCAGAUUGAACGCUGGCGGCAGGCCUAACACAUGCAAGUCGGGCGGUAACACAGGGAGCUUGCUCUGGGUGACGAGCGGCGGACGGGUGAGUAAUGUCUGGCAAACUGCCUGAUGGAGGGGGAUAACUACUGGAACCGGUAGCUAAUACCGCAUAACGUCUUCGGACCAAAGUGGGGGACCUUCGGGCCUCAUGCCAUCAGAUGUGCCCACAUGGGAUUAGCUAGUAGGUGGGGUAACGGCUCACCUAGGCGACGAUCCCUAGCUGGUCUGAGAGGAUGACCAGCCACACUGGAACUGAGACACGGUCCAGACUCCUACGGGAGGCAGCAGUGGGGAAUAUUGCACAAUGGGCGCAAGCCUGAUGCAGCCAUGCCGCGUGUAUGAAGAAGGCCUUCGGGUUGUAAAAUACUUUCAGCGAGGAGGAAGGCGGUGAGGUUAAUAGCCUCACCGAUUGACGUUA
rnacentral:rRNA from 1 species